rnacentral:tRNA from 1 species
GGUUGUAGCUCAGUGGUAGAGCACUUGCCUGGCAUGUGUGAGGCACUGGGUUCAAUCCUCAGCACCA